rnacentral:rRNA from 1 species
UUCGGAACACAAUACCCUCGGGAAACUGAGGCUAAUAGUGUAUACCACAGUCCACCUGGAAUGAGGACUGUGCCAAACGCUCCGGCGCCGAAGGAUGUGGCUGCGGCCGAUUAGGUAGACGGUGGGGUAACGGCCCACCGUGCCAAUAAUCGGUACGGGUCAUGAGAGUGAGAACCCGGAGACGGAAUCUGAGACAAGAUUCCGGGCCCUACGGGGCGCAGCAGGCGCGAAACCUUUACACUGCACGGAAGUGCGAUAGGGGAAUCCCAAGUGCGAGGGCAUAUUAGCCCUCGCUUUUGUUGACUGUAAGGAGGUCAACGAAUAAGGGCUGGGCAAGACCGGUGCCAGCCGCCGCGGUAAUACCGGCAGCUCGAGUGAUGUCCAAUUUUAUUGGGCCUAAAGCGUCCGUAGCUGGCCAGCCAAGUUCGUCGGGAAAUCCACCUGCCCAACAGGUGGGCGUCCGGCGAAAACUGUCUGGCUUGGAACCGGAAGGCUCAGAGGGUACGUCUGGGGUAGGAGUGAAAUCCUGUAAUCCCAGACGGACCACCGAUGGCGAAAGCACUCUGAGAGGACGGAUUCGACAGUGAGGGACGAAAGCUAGGGUCUCGAACCGGAUUAGAUACCCGGGUAGUCCUAGCUGUAAACGAUGCUCGUUAGGUGUGGCACUCACUACGAGUGGGUGCUGUGCCGUAGGGAAGCCGCUAAACGAGCCGCCUGGGAAGUACGUCCGCAAGGAUGAAACUUAAAGGAA